AAAAAGGUAGGUUAAAUAAACCUCUGAAUUGUGGUUUCAGGAAUGUCUUGAAGACCCUCUUUC
rnacentral:tRNA from 1 species